rnacentral:rRNA from 1 species
AACGAACGCUGGCGGCAGGCCUAACACAUGCAAGUCGAACGCCCUAGCAAUAGGGAGUGGCGCACGGGUGAGUAACGCGUGGGAACGUGCCUUUCAGUCUGGAAUAACUGCGGGAAACUGCAGCUAAUACCGGAUAUUCUCUACGGAGGAAAGAUUUAUCGCUGAAAGAUCGGCCCGCGUUAGAUUAGGUAGUUGGUGGGGUAAUGGCCUACCAAGCCUACGAUCUAUAGCUGGUCUGAGAGGAUGAUCAGCCACACUGGAACUGAGACACGGUCCAGACUCCUACGGGAGGCAGCAGUGGGGAAUAUUGGACAAUGGGCGCAAGCCUGAUCCAGCCAUGCCGCGUGAGUGACGAAGGCCUUAGGGUUGUAAAGCUCUUUUGUCAGGGAAGAUAAUGACGGUACCUGAAGAAUAAGACACGGCUAACUUCGUGCCAGCCGCCGCCGUAA